CCUGUUUCACUGUGAACUCAAAAUGUGGCACUUCCUGUUUCAGUCUCAACUUGCCACUGAAUUCCCGCGAGAUCUCACGAGAUCUCGUCUAUUGUCAUUCCAGGAAGUGUUGAUCCAGGAAGUGUUCAACAUUUGACAUUUCCCAUUUCACUGUGGAC